rnacentral:rRNA from 1 species
AGCAUCCGUAGCCGGUUCUGCAAGUCCUCCGUUAAAUCGACCUGCUCAACAGAUGGGCCGCGGAGGAUACUACAGGGCUAGGAGGCGGGAGAGGCAAGCGGUACUCAAUGGGUAGGGGUAAAAUCCACUGAUCCAUUGAAGACCACCAGUGGCGAAGGCGGCUUGCCAGAACGCGCUCGACGGUGAGGGAUGAAAGCUGGGGGAGCAAACCGGAUUAGAUACCCGGGUAGUCCCAGCUGUAAACGAUGCAGACUCGGUGAUGGGCUGGCUUUGCGCCAGCCCAGUGCCGCAGGGAAGCCGUUAAGUCUGCCGCCUGGGGAGUACGGUCGCAAGACUGAAACUUAAAGG